rnacentral:rRNA from 1 species
CCUACGGGAGGCAGCAGUGGGGAAUAUUGCACAAUGGGGGAAACCCUGAUGCAGCCAUGCCGCGUGUGUGAAGAAGGCCUUCGGGUUGUAAAGCACUUUCAGUCGUGAGGAAGGUAGUGUAGUUAAUAGCUGCAUUAUUUGACGUUAGCGACAGAAGAAGCACCGGCUAACUCCGUGCCAGCAGCCGCGGUAAUACGGAGGGUGCGAGCGUUAAUCGGAAUUACUGGGCGUAAAGCGCAUGCAGGUGGUUUGUUAAGUCAGAUGUGAAAGCCCGGGGCUCAACCUCGGAAUUGCAUUUGAAACUGGCAGACUAGAGUACUGUAGAGGGGGGUAGAAUUUCAGGUGUAGCGGUGAAAUGCGUAGAGAUCUGAAGGAAUACCGGUGGCGAAGGCGGCCCCCUGGACAGAUACUGACACUCAGAUGCGAAAGCGUGGGGAGCAAACAGGAUUAGAUACCCUGGUAGUCCACGCCGUAAACGAUGUCUACUUGGAGGUUGUGGCCUUGAGCCGUGGCUUUCGGAGCUAACGCGUUAAGUAGACCGCCUGGGGAGUACGGUCGCAAGAUUAAAACUCAAAUGAAUUGACGGA